UGGCUCAGGAUGAACGCUGGCGGCGUGCUUAACACAUGCAAGUCGAACGAUGAUGCCCAGCUUGCUGGGUGGAUUAGUGGCGAACGGGUGAGUAACACGUGAGUAACCUGCCCUUGACUCUGGGAUAAGCCUGGGAAACUGGGUCUAAUACCGGAUAUGACUGCUCCGCGCAUGCGGUGGUGGUGGAAAGCUUUUGCGGUUUUGGAUGGACUCGCGGCCUAUCAGCUUGUUGGUGGGGUAAUGGCCUACCAAGGCGACGACGGGUAGCCGGCCUGAGAGGGUGACCGGCCACACUGGGACUGAGACACGGCCCAGACUCCUACGGGAGGCAGCAGUGGGGAAUAUUGCACAAUGGGCGCAAGCCUGAUGCAGCGACGCCGCGUGAGGGAUGACGGCCUUCGGGUUGUAAACCUCUUUCAGUAGGGAAGAAGCGAAAGUGACGGUACCUGCAGA
rnacentral:rRNA from 1 species